rnacentral:lncRNA from 1 species
CAAGGACUAGAAGCGUCUUAAGCAUUCUCCAAAAAAUGCAGAAUACGCCCGGAGUCCCUCAAGGGGGACCCUGGCUUUUGCCAAAAUCUUAAGGGAAAUGUACAACUAAUACACUUGCCAGUUACUCAAGCAGUUUGCAAGACAAUAUGCAAAUUGAAGUUGAAAAAAUAAAGACUGAAAUUUCCAUAGCAAAGUGACCGGCC